UUACCUUUGAGUGGGGUUUCUCAGUGC
rnacentral:piRNA from 1 species